CAGUCGUACGCUUCUUUUUCACCGGAGCUUGCUCCACCGGAAAAAGAAGAGUGGCGAACGGGUGAGUAACACGUGGGUAACCUGCCCAUCAGAAGGGGAUAACACUUGGAAACAGGUGCUAAUACCGUAUAACAAUCGAAACCGCAUGGUUUUGAUUUGAAAGGCGCUUUCGGGUGUCGCUGAUGGAUGGACCCGCGGUGCAUUAGCUAGUUGGUGAGGUAACGGCUCACCAAGGCCACGAUGCAUAGCCGACCUGAGAGGGUGAUCGGCCACAUUGGGACUGAGACACGGCCCAAACUCCUACGGGAGGCAGCAGUAGGGAAUCUUCGGCAAUGGACGAAAGUCUGACCGAGCAACGCCGCGUGAGUGAAGAAGGUUUUCGGAUCGUAAAACUCUGUUGUUAGAGAAGAACAAGGAUGAGAGUAACUGUUCAUCCCUUGACGGUAUCUAACCAGAAAGCCACGGCUAACUACGUGCCAGCAGCCGCGGUAAUACGUAGGUGGCAAGCGUUGUCCGGAUUUAUUGGGCGUAAAGCGAGCGCAGGCGGUUUCUUAAGUCUGAUGUGAAAGCCCCCGGCUCAACCGGGGAGGGUCAUUGGAAACUGGGAGACUUGAGUGCAGAAGAGGAGAGUGGAAUUCCAUGUGUAGCGGUGAAAUGCGUAGAUAUAUGGAGGAACACCAGUGGCGAAGGCGGCUCUCUGGUCUGUAACUGACGCUGAGGCUCGAAAGCGUGGGGAGCAAACAGGAUUAGAUACCCUGGUAGUCCACGCCGUAAACGAUGAGUGCUAAGUGUUGGAGGGUUUCCGCCCUUCAGUGCUGCAGCUAACGCAUUAAGCACUCCGCCUGGGGAGUACGACCGCAAGGUUGAAACUCAAAGGAAUUGACGGGGGCCCGCACAAGCGGUGGAGCAUGUGGUUUAAUUCGAAGCAACGCGAAGAACCUUACCAGGUCUUGACAUCCUUUGACCACUCUAGAGAUAGAGCUUCCCCUUCGGGGGCAAAGUGACAGGUGGUGCAUGGUUGUCGUCAGCUCGUGUCGUGAGAUGUUGGGUUAAGUCCCGCAACGAGCGCAACCCUUAUUGUUAGUUGCCAUCAUUCAGUUGGGCACUCUAGCAAGACUGCCGGUGACAAACCGGAGGAAGGUGGGGAUGACGUCAAAUCAUCAUGCCCCUUAUGACCUGGGCUACACACGUGCUACAAUGGGAAGUACAACGAGUCGCGAAGUCGCGAGGCUAAGCUAAUCUCUUAAAGCUUCUCUCAGUUCGGAUUGUAGGCUGCAACUCGCCUACAUGAAGCCGGAAUCGCUAGUAAUCGCGGAUCAGCACGCCGCGGUGAAUACGUUCCCGGGCCUUGUACACA
rnacentral:rRNA from 1 species